rnacentral:ncRNA from 1 species
AAAUAUAGCUAGGGGAGCCUUUAGGCUGAGAAGUAUAAACUGACCCUUAUACCUGAUCUGGGUAAUGCCAGCGUAGGAAAGCUUGUACAUAAGUCU